ensembl:snoRNA
UGUCCUGAUGAUACUUGUAAUAGGAAGUGCCGUCAGAAGCGAUAACUGACGACGUUUAACGUCUAUCUGACC